UGAGCGGCAGAGCUCAGAUUUGGAAUCGUGUUUCGGCACGAGUUGUAAAUUGCAGGUUGGAGUCUUUGUGGAAGCGUGUGUCCAAGUCCCUUGGAACAGGGCGCCAUUGAGGGUGAGAGCCCCGUGGGAUGCGCGCGGAAGCAACAAGGCCCUUCUGACGAGUCGAGUUGUUUGGGAAUGCAGCUCUAAGCGGGUGGUAAAUUCCAUCUAAGGCUAAAUACUGGCGAGAGACCGAUAGCGAACAAGUACUGUGAAGGAAAGAUGAAAAGCACUUUGAAAAGAGAGUGAAACAGCACGUGAAAUUGUUGAAAGGGAAGGGUAUUGGGCCCGACAUGGGGAUUGCGCAUCUCUGCUCCUUGUGGGCGGGGCGCUGUGCUUUUCCUGGGCCAGCAUCGGUUUUUGCCGCAGGAGAAGGGGUACUGGAAUGUGGCUCCUCGGAGUGUUAUAGCCAGUGCCAGAUGCUGCGUGCGGGGACCGAGGGCUGCGACAUCUGUCUCGGAUGCUGGCACAACGGCGCAAUACCGCCCGUCUUA
rnacentral:rRNA from 1 species